UACGUAGGUGACAAGCGUUGUCCGGAUUUACUGGGCGUAAAGAGCGCGCAGGCGGUCGAUCAAGUCGAGUGUGAAAGCCCCCGGCUCAACUGGGGAGGGUCAUUCGAUACUGAUCGACUCGAAGGCAGGAGAGGGUAGUGGAAUUCCCGGUGUAGUGGUGAAAUUCGUAGAUAUCGGGAGGAACACCGGUGGCGAAGGCGGCGACCUGGGUAGAUACGUGACGCUGAGGUGCGAAAGCGUGGGGAGCAAACAGG
rnacentral:rRNA from 1 species